rnacentral:rRNA from 1 species
UACGAAGGGGGCUAGCGUUGCUCGGAAUCACUGGGCGUAAAGGGCGCGUAGGCGGCGUUUUUAAGUCGGGGGUGAAAGCCUGUGGCUCAACCACAGAAUGGCCUUCGAUACUGGGACGCUUGAGUACGGUAGAGGUUGGUGGAACUGCGAGUGUAGAGGUGAAAUUCGUAGAUAUUCGCAAGAACACCGGUGGCGAAGGCGGCCAACUGGACCAUUACUGACGCUGAGGCGCGAAAGCGUGGGGAGCAAACAGG